rnacentral:rRNA from 1 species
UGCCAGCAGCCGCGGUAAUACGGAGGGUGCGAACGUUAAUCGGAAUUACUGGGCGUAAAGCGCGCGUAGGCGGUUCGACAAGUGGGGUGUGAAAGCCCAGGGCUUAACCCUGGAACUGCAUUCCAAACUGUCGGGCUAGAGUAUGGUAGAGGGAGGUAGAAUUUCCUGUGUAGCGGUGAAAUGCGUAGAUAUAGGAAGGAAUACCGGUGGCGAAGGCGGCCUCCUGGACCAAUACUGACGCUGAGGUGCGAAAGCGUGGGGAGCAAACAGGAUUAGAUA